AGUGGUCCCACCGAUCAACGCCAAACUAAGCGGAUUUCUCUUUCCGAUAUAGUUUCCUCGCGGCACGAACACCCAGAUUGUCCGUGCACCGGAGCGGAAUUUCGCAAUCUUGAUCGUUGUGUGCGCCAGCAAAAAGAGGAAUUUGUGAAUCGAGCAAACAGCGUGGAAAACACGGGCCUAUCGCGUUGGCGGGUCAUUCCAAGUCAGAGAACACGAGGCUGCUUGCAACUUCACCGAUAUACACGAAUGCAUAAUGGUAACCAGUGAACGCCCCUCGCUCCAGUCUUCAAUCCUGCGGAUCACUUGGGAACACCUACUCACGAUUCGCUGGAUCCCUCGGCGUUAUUAAAGAUACUCCGACCUCAUCGGCAUUCGUGCCUCGAUCCCACGAUCUUCUCUCCCCUUACAAAUCUCUUUCUACUUAAGUAGCGACCAAGUGCCGGAAGACGAGGUCGUUGAUGCUGCGUGGGCAGCGGAUUCACCGAAUAUUCAAACAGGACCUUAACCUUCCGCUUAGACCGUUAGGUAGAUGAGCGCGCGAAUCGUCGUGAAAGUAAAUUCGUGAAGUCAUAGCACGAGGAAGAGGAAAGUAGGCGUGAAAGGAGAUACGUGAAUGCGGAAGAAACCGCUAUCGAUCUGAGAUCGGUGCAAGACGUCAGAAAGGCAGCGGCAAUUCGCGCAUAAUCAAAGAGUCCGUAUGAAAGAAGCGUAUAAGGCGCUGCCGUUUCUCGAGAUGAUAGCAUUGUCGAAGCGAGAUGGCUACGAAACCAGUCGGCGGUCCAAGGAUAAUGGCGGCUGAGGAGUCGAGGAACUGAUAUCGGUGCAUUGGCCACGGUAAAUUCUCUUGGUAAUUGGCGAGCAGCGAGAGCUACAGCGAAGACAUCGAUGGAUAAUGCGGCGCGGCGAACGUAAUAGGCAACACGGCGCGGUUCAUGGCAUAACCUAUGUACGCCGUGGUAAAUUCUCUCGGUAAUUGCGAACAAGAGGCAGAGGGUGUGGGUGCUGAUGGAAUCCCGAGGGAAGGAUAAUGGCCGGAGAACGUUUCGCCGCGACACAAAGCGGCGAGUUUGCUGGUACUCGACCGGACAGAUCCGUUCUCCGCGUGUAUGCUAACAAACGGAAUUACAAGCCUGCGAUAUUACGAUAUCGGAUACCCUCGAGGAAUACUUUGUCCGAUGUGGAAUUCUAUCCUCGCUAAACUUCGCCCUCCCUGGUGUAAUACCGUGAAAAACAUCGAAACGUAUGGGCAUAAUAACCGCGACACGGCGGUCGUCGAUGAGAGUGAGAAGCAAUUUCCCGUGAAAUCGAUGGAUAAGUCGCGAGCCGCCGUUCAUGCCAGCACCGAUACGCGAUUUAUAUUAUAUUCCUAAACUUACCAUAAACACAGGACGCUAUGAUUGGCCGUAUAACGGACGACAAGCAUCACAAGCGAAUUCCUGUAAUAAUUGCGAGACAGAAGUGCAGUGCGGGUGCACUUGGAAUCCCGGAGAAAGGAUAAUAGCCGUGGAACGUGUCCAGUCGCGGUUUGUAUCGUAUUCCUUGAAUAUUGGACGAGCACGUACUACUCGAGCUAUCGGUUUUAAUACGCCGCGCGAACAUAAUUUAACCAUCCGACUGUCGGCGGAUAAAAUAUCGUCGACUGGCUUACACGAACGCUUGUAAUCCGGCCUUUUAAAGGAACAGUAUCGGCGAAUUAAAGUCGCGAAUACCUAUGUGAUCCGGUUAAAAGGGGGAUUCUGUUGGCGAAACGAUUUGUUCCCCGCGACAUACGUUCUAUCAGCGAAAUCGUCUCCUUCCUCGGGAAAUAUUGUAAUAAUUCGAACAAUCGUUCGGUAAAAAAGAACGCGAUGGCUGAUCUGGUUAAUGUCAGAGAAAAACAACUCGAAUUUCCGAUAAUUGGAACGAUCACCGAGUAGGUUUCUCUUUUACUCGGAAUUCUACAACCCGAAAGUCAUACGAAUUUUAGCGAAAUAAUUUGCAUUGCAGAAAAAGAUCAUUGUCUUCGGUUGGGAAAAAUUACUUGUAAAAAUUUGAAUCUAUAUUUUCAAAUGUUUAAACCUUCGAGGAGAUCGACUGGAGAUCUAGCACAAGGCGCAUAAAUAACUCGAAGCUGUAAUCGUGAACAAAGAAACGAUCACGACCUCCUAUCCCAAACGAUAAUGGAAAAGCUAGGGAACCGUGAGGUAAUUCAUACUCUUUUUUUACAAGAGUACCGACUCGAGAGGUUUCCUCAAGCCGCACCCUGCGCCACCCAAACGUAAUCUCGGUAAUAUUUCUAACCGAGCCCUUGACGCCGAGGUUGAGAUUGGGGGCGGAUAAAUUACGGGGCGUAAACUGCAUCCUGACAGUAAAUUACUCGAUAGCGGUAGACGAUACCGUGGAACGUGGCGCCUACGCGUGAAACUACAUCUACUUCCAUAAUCCUAGGACCCUUGAUCCGCAGGAUUCCUGCGAGAAUGUUACGAGGAUACCAUCGCGAUUCCUAUCUUUUGUCCGAUAAAUUUCCUUUUUUCUCGCGGUUCUGAGAAAUCUCGACGUCGAUCGACCGAGAAAGACGAUGGUUUAAUUGCCAGAAUAAUAUUAUAUUCUUAAUUUCUACGCAUAGGACGGAAUCUAUUUCAAUUUGUCCGUGACUGAAAGAGCGAGAACAAAUCGGAGAGAGAUUGAAUAAAUUUGAAUACUCGUAGCUGCAGGCACGUGGCUGCGCUCAGCUGUUUUCAUGGAUAACAUCUUCGUCAUCCCGCGUAGCGGUGUAUUUCUAGCGAGAAAAAAAUAUUGAAACCAUCGUCGAAGGUCGGAUUCCAGUGAAUCUCUGCGUUCUAUUAACGUGUUAUCGCCGCUGUAUCUUCGGGAAGUUACGAUAAAGGUUCGCUGGCGAAUGGCGCCAUUCAGCGACGUAUAAUCGUUAUACUCUCUCGUGUUGUUGCAACAAGAUGAUUCAAUCGUACGUUAAAUGUCGCCGAUGUUAACUUUUUUUUUUCAACUUUUCGAUAGCUUUUUAAGUAGCUCGUAAGAAAUGCGUCACGUCGUAAAUUAAGAUCUCAUAGACUUCCCUAGAGCGAACGUAGCUGAAUCGAACGUCACUCCUAUAAUUUUUACAAAAGCAUCGAUUUCCCAACCGGUAUAAUUAUAUAUCGCUCGCGGUAUCAAAGUUCACAGGCGGCUAGAACCAACGGCGGAUGUACGUUAGAGCGUGCGCGUUCCUUGUUAACCGAUGGGAAUAGAUUUCUGAUUCUAUCCACAGUCGCGGCGGGCGUCUCUUGUGCUAAGAGAGCACCGCCAGCAAACGAUUUCGCAAAUGGAUCGUUUCCACGGCGAGCCCAUCAACCGUGUUACCGAAAUCUACCACGGUUGUUAAUAUUUUCUUUUGUCUGCAUCUAAGUAAUCUUUGAAUCGAGUCGUUUCGUUCAUUUAAUAAUUCAGAUUAAUAAAUCGAAUCUCUUCUGAUACGAUCGUCACGGUUCACCGAGGCACGAUCGAUCGUCAGUUUUGCAAUAAAUUUGUUAGAGAUCGUUUGUUGUCGAUCGAUUCCCGUUUACUCGAGAAUCGACAGGAUUCACGUUCCGCCGAAGCUUUCGUUUCCCUCGCGAGAACGUAAGAAAAUGAUUUCGUUGUGAACAGACGAUUUGUUACGGCAAGUAAUUUUUGGCAAUCAGUAAACAGCAUUGUUACUUGUUACUCGAUUACAAGCGGUUUCUGUUGAUUGUCCGUUUCAACGAUCGACGGGGAGAAACUCUUGCAAUCGAGGUGCUGGUAGGUGGAUUUCGCAUGCGAAACAACCGUUUUGCGAAAUCCUGUUACGGUGGCCGCAGACUUCAACGGAGGCGCCUAGGUGAAUCGACGAAAAUUAACAACCGCGAAAUUGGAUUGAAUUUAUUAGUACCGGAUUACGACGAAAUAUUUCAAACAAUCAAAUUGGAAAUCUGCGAGUUGUCCUAAAUAAUUCUUAGUCAACUUGAUAUGCAAGAUCAAAAAAUGGAUAAAAGAAGAAAGUGUAAAGAAAUCCCAUUUGUGAAACUAAAAUGAUAUUUCCUUAAGAAAAUGUUCAAAAUAUUUAAAAAGGCAUCGAGUAUUCUCGGCAUCUCUCGAUAAGAACCGCUAACGAGUAGCAGAUUUUUCCCAAAGCAGUCCAAGCGAAUUAAACCAAACUGGCUAUUCGAGGAAGCAUUUUAGAACGUGUCACCGUAUUUGGGGUUCGAUCGAGAAGGGAACCGCCGUGAACGUCGAGAGAGAAAAAAGGAUCAUGCGCACCCUUGGGGCACGCCCUCAGAGAUCAAAAGCAUUUUGCUUGAUUUCCGCGUGUGCCAGUUAUUCAACGAUCCAAACAUUACGUAAACUGACAUUUUCGCGGCUAACUUAAACCAGUCAAAGAGUGCGCUGAUCGGUAUGCCAUCAACUAGGAAAGAAUUAUUAGCAGAAUUAAUCUUUUUGGAAACUUUCUUCACAGCGUUGUCAUUGAAUAACGAAUAUUUUAUCUCGUAGUGGAAAUAUUAAAUAAAUAAACAAGUAUACUUUAGAAAUAAAGUUUGUAUAUCAUAAUUCUAUAAAAAAAAUUGCGAAUGCAUAUUUGUUUUCAAGUUCUCUAGCAAAUUUUUUCCAAUAUUUUUAUUCUAAAUUUAUUUCGAAACCCAUUCCGAAACUAGUAAAAUAUCACUUGUGCAUUAUGUAACGUAAGCCGUAAGCUAUUCAAGAUAUUUAAAUACAAGUUUGUGUCGCGUUGCCGUUCACCACUUCGUCUACGAUCGGUUUUCCUCUUCGACCUUCGAGAGUGAUUUAAAGACGCUGGCGCGAAAUACGUUUCGCGCGAAUCGAAUUUCUGUAUGAACGAAAGCGCGAGCAUUACUUAGAGCCUCGCGAAAAAAUUGAGCACCGCAGUUCCAAACA